rnacentral:tRNA from 1 species
AAAGCUUUAUGUUAAAGAAACAAUUAACCUUCAAAGUUAAAAAUAAAAUAUUUUUUUAAGCUUUA